UGCGUAGGCGGAAUAUUAAGUCAGUGGUGAAAUCCUGCAGCUCAACUGUAGAACUGCCAUUGAUACUGAUAUUCUUGAAUGUAGUUGAGGUAGGCGGAAUGUGUAAUGUAGCGGUGAAAUGCUUAGAUAUUACACAGAACACCGAUUGCGAAGGCAGCUUACUAAACUAUGAUUGACGCUGAGGCACGAAAGCGUGGGGAGCGAACAGGAUUAGAUACCCUGGUAGUCC
rnacentral:rRNA from 1 species